UUUAUAAAUAUAUUACUUAUUUUUAAAGAUUAAUGUUUUUUUAUAUAAAAAAUUUUUAUAAAUAUAUGUUUUUGUAUUUUUUAGAUUAAAUAAUUUUAGUUAUAGUAAAUUAGUACAUUGAUGGAAUUAUGAAAUAAUUUUUAUUAUUAAAAAAGUAGAUUUAUUUUAUUGUACCUUUUGUAUCAGGGUUGGUUAAAAAUAUAAUAUUAAUAAAUAUUUUUCUCGAAUUUAAAAGAGCUAAAUUAUUAUGAAAAUUUUUGUGGCAAAAGGAUUUUAAAUAAUAAUUUGGUAAUGAAAUGUUAGUCGCUUUUAAGAAUAUCUAGUUUUUCAAGAAUUAAAUUUAAUUUAUUUAUUUUUAUAUUAUUAUUUUAUUUGGUUAAUUUAAUAAAUUUAAAUAGAAAAAAUAAUAGGGACAAGCUUAUUAUUUGACUUAUAAAAUAAAAUCUAUUCAUUAAAUUAAUAGGAUUAGAAAUUUCCAUUUAUAAUUAAAGUGUUAUAAUUAAUUUAUGUUUAUAUAAGAUUUUUUUUAUUUUAAGAUUUUAUUGAAAUAUUUUUUAUAAUAAUUUUAUUUAGUAAUAAUGAUUAAAUUAGUAUUAUUUUGUUUAUAAAUAAAAUAUAAAUGAAGAUAAGAGUAAGGAAUUCAGCAAAUAUUGUAUUCGCCUGUUUAUCAAAAACAUGUCUUUUUGAUUAUAAUUUUAAGUCUAGCCUGCCCACUGAAAAUUUGAAGGGCCGCAGUAUUCUGACUGUGCAAAGGUAGCAUAAUCAUUUGCCUCUUAAUUAGAGGCUAGUAUGAAUGGUUGAACGAAAUACAAACUGUCUCACUCUUAAAAUUAUAAAAAUUUAGCUUUCUAGUUAAAAGGCUUGAAUAUUAUUAGAGGACGAGAAGACCCUAUAGAACUUUAUAAUUUUUUAAUUAAAUUUAUAUAGAAAAAUAUUAUUUUUUAUUUAAAUUAUUAUUUUGUUGGGGUGACAGGAAAAUAAAUAUAACUUUUUUAAUAUAAGAACAUUGAUUUAUGAAUAUUUGAUCCAUUAUUAGUGAUUAUUAGAAUAAGUUACCUUAGGGAUAACAGCGUAAUUUUGUUGGAGAGUUCAUAUCUAUAACAAAGUUUGCGACCUCGAUGUUGAAUUAAAGAAAUUUUAGAGUGCAGAAGCUUUAAGUAAUAGGUCUGUUCGACCUUUAAAUCUUUACAUGAUUUGAGUUCAGACCGGCGUGAGCCAGGUCGGUUUCUAUCCUUAAUUAAAAUCCAUUAUUUAGUACGAAAGGACCGGUUAUGGGAAAAAUUUUUUAUUUUUUGAAUAAAAUU
rnacentral:rRNA from 1 species